rnacentral:rRNA from 1 species
UGGUGGAGUGAUUUGUCUGGUUAAUUCCGUUAACGAACGAGACCUCGACCUGCUAAAUAGCAAGGCAUAUUCUCGGAUAUGUAACUUCUUGCUUCUUAGAGGGACUAUCGGUGUGUAGCCGAUGGAAGUUCGAGGCAAUAACA